CUGACACAGGGAGGUAGUGACAAUAAAUAACAAUGCCGGGCCUAUACAGGUCUGGCAAUUGGAAUGAGAACAAUUUAAAUCCCUUAUCGAGUAUCAAUUGGAGGGCAAGUCUGGUGCCAGCAGCCGCGGUAAUUCCAGCUCCAAUAGCGUAUAUUAAAGUUGUUGCAGUUAAAAAGCUCGUAGUUGGAUUUCUGGUGGGAGCGAUCUGUCUUCACACUGUGAGGUACUUGAUUGUCUCCAGCCAUCCUUGGGAAAAUGCUUCCUGGCAUUAGGUUGUCGGGUAGUGGAUUCCCAUCUUUUACUGUGAAAAAAUUAGAGUGUUCAAAGCAGGCUUAUGCCGUUGAAUAUACUAGCAUGGAAUAAUAAUAUAGGGCCUUGGUACUAUUUUGUUGGUUUGCGCACCGAGGUAAUGAUUAACAGGGACAGUUGGGGGUAUUCGUAUUCAGUUGUCAGAGGUGAAAUUCUUGGAUUUACGGAAGACGAACUACUGCGAAAGCAUUUACCAA
rnacentral:rRNA from 1 species